GGUGUGUAGCCUCACCUAUUGGUUUGUUUCUGUUAAAUCUGUGGACCAAUCGGAGCAUGUUAUGAUUUCGUGGUUGCUCAUUGGUUGGUGCUACACAAAUCUACAAACCAAUCGGAGCCGGGUUUGUAGGAUAUAAGAAUCCUAGUGGUGUAGCACCUGGAAACGUUGUCAUUUACGUCAUGCCCUGUAUGGAAGCGCUCUUUGUGAAUGAGCGGAGGGCGGCUGCGCGUCAUUCAUUACCCUUGGCUUUGCGUGUUGUGAACGAGCGGUAAGUGAUUUGGUGGUAUGUAAAUCAUCAGUUAACUUUAAAUCACUUAUAAUGGCAUCUAUUACUGCAGGAUCGGCUUUUAGCUGGUUCCCAGAUGGCUGUAUGUUGCAGUAUUCGCAGCAGCUACAGGUGGGUUAUUUUGGCGUUGGGGAAACCUAAUGCGGUUAAAGGGAGAUUAAUUGUUUGUGUGUUUAGUUUGCUGCACAGGCAAACUGGUAAUACCUCGUUUGAUUGACCGGGCAUGACGGUUUCAUUAACCCCUCGAUAAAUGUAAGUUCCGUUUCGGAUGAGACUACAUUGCUGCUUUGCCUGGAGUUCGUUUCUUUCGUUUGUGUGUGUGGAUUCGUCUGGUGGCACAACCUCACCAUUUAUUGGACUGCAUCCAUUCAGGGGUAUGGGCUUGGAGGUGUAUAACCUGAUUUCAGCUGUGCCCAUAACGUUUAUUGGCAUGCAGGAGUGGUUGCCGUUGUGACGUAUCGACCAGUGUUAGUUAUUUUUUUGUUAUUGUUUUGAGUUAUUUAAUUUAGUGUUGUAUGUAUUCACCUCUAUAAAGUGGGAGAUUGCGCCGGAACGUGUGUACACUA